GGAAGCGAGAGUGAUCUGGUGAUUACCACGGCCUUCAAAGCCGCUGUGUGGCGUUAGUCAUAGGUGGGUUCGAUUCCCACACGUUUCCGCCA
rnacentral:tRNA from 1 species